rnacentral:lncRNA from 1 species
GUUUGAGAAACAAUGGGCAUGUCCUCUCUGCCCAAGAGCUCUUGUCAGAAUUGUUUAAAAAAAGAAAAGAUAGAGGUGGUCAGAGGGAAGAACAAUUGACAGCUUCUCUAAUCUGAUUUUGAUUGUUGCUCUGUUUAAAAAAUAAUACUAGCCUAAAUCCUCACGCCUUGACUCAGGUUUCUGCAAAUGCAAGUAGGAAAUUCACAUGUGUCAGUGGAAGUUCAAACACAUUGCACCGACUCAUGGAGAGUUAUUAUGUUUUGUUACACAGUUACUGAGGCCAGUUUUCGCCCUGACACAUGUACUUAGUGAUAAGAGAGAGGCUGUGUGAGCCGAGGUUGCUCUGGGAGGGCAGUGGACAGUGUCUGACCCCACAGCAAGCCCCACACAGUUUUGUGUCAUUUGGUUGCUGUUUCUCCCUUUGCAGCAAGGUUUCGAUAGGAACAUGCUGGGAACCUUAGCUGGGGCCAACAGCCUCAGGAACUUCACCUCCCGAUUCUAAGAAGAGACUGUCCAAGCAAGUUAGGCUUGCAGGAAGAUAUGACCCAGCUGAGAAGCCCUCAGGCCUCGCUGGAUGGGGUUUUCUGUCCAUCCUAUGCAGUAUUUGGGAAAGUUCACAAGAAACUGAGAA